UACGGAGGGUGCGAGCGUUGUCCGGAAUCAUUGGGCGUAAAGGGCGCGUAGGUGGCCCGGCAAGCGUGCGGUGAAAGUCGGGGGCUCAACCCCCGAUCGGCCGUGCGAACUGCGGGGCUGGAGCACUGUAGAGGCAGGCGGAAUUCCGGGUGUAGCGGUGGAAUGCGUAGAGAUCCGGAAGAACACCGGAGGCGAAGGCGGCUUGCUGGGCUUUGUCUGACGCUGAGGCGCGAAAGCGUGGGGAGCGAACAGG
rnacentral:rRNA from 1 species